rnacentral:miRNA from 1 species
UGAAUAUGUUUGUACAAGCUUU